GGUGGCUCAGUGGUAGAGUGCUUGCCUAGCAUGCAUGAGGCCUUAGGUUCGAUUCCUCAGCACCA
rnacentral:tRNA from 1 species